CCACACAGAGAUAGAGGCUGAAAAGGGAUGGGGCCGCGUUCCUAGAACACCUGAGGACAGGUCGCCCGGGUACCCGACACUUCCUCACCCAGCGUGGGACAUGGAGAGGAGAUUCAUCUCUAGAACAUUCCCAAAACGCUUAUUCAAAAUCAUUCGUAAGAUAAGCGAUUUUUUAAAGACUAAUAUAGAGUAGAGUUUACAGAAAAAUUGAGAAGUUACAGAGAUAUACCAUAUACACUUUGCUCCUACGCAUGCAUAACCCCCCACCAUUAUCAACAUCCCCCCUCAGAGUGGUACAUGUGUUACGAUUGAUGAACCUGCAUUGACACCUCAUCAUCGCUCAAAGUCCAUAGUUACCUCAGGGUUCACUCAGGUUGUUGUAUACUCCUCGAGUUAGGACAAAUGUGUAAUGGCAGGUAUCCAUAAUUAUAGUAUCCUAGAGAGUAUUUCCACUGCCCUGAAAUUCUUCUGUGGGUGGAGCGCCCUGAAGGGAAGGAAAGGGAUCUGGAGCCCCAUUUAUUUCCUUCAUGAAUGUCCAGAGGAGAUCCUUGAAAUGAAGACUGCCACUGGGAUAAGGAAGAGACACCAUAGAUCUCUCUUUCUGCAUGCAUGCACAGAAGAAAGUCCAUAUUAGGACACAGUGAAAAGAUGGCCAUCUACAAGCCAGGAAGAGAGGCCUUAUCAGACACCAAUGCUGACGGCACCUGGAUCUUGUACUUCUAGCCUCCAGAACUGAAAUUGUCCUUUUCACCUAAAUUUUUGAAUAUCUUGGCAUGAGAGCCCAAGUAGAGUGCAGAAUCACCCGGGUUCAGACAAUUCUCGUGCCUCAGCCUCCGGAGUAGCUGGGAUUACAGGUAAUUUACAUCGACUGCAUCUGUAUGGUGAAAAUAUAGUAUAAUGGGGUGCUGCUGUGAAUCUCCUUCCAAUUCUGCAUUCUGUGAUAUCAUAGUGGUAACCUGAAAUCCACCAUGGUGGGGACAUUUACACAAUAACUGGC